AUUGAACGCUGGCGGCAGGCCUAACACAUGCAAGUCGAACGGUAACAGGAAGAAGCUUGCUUCUUUGCUGACGAGUGGCGGACGGGUGAGUAAUGUCUGGGAAACUGCCUGAUGGAGGGGGAUAACUACUGGAAACGGUAGCUAAUACCGCAUAACGUCGCAAGACCAAAGAGGGGGACCUUCGGGCCUCUUGCCAUCGGAUGUGCCCAGAUGGGAUUAGCUAGUGGGUGGGGUAACGGCUCACCUAGGCGACGAUCCCUAGCUGGUCUGAGAGGAUGACCAGCCACACUGGAACUGAGACACGGUCCAGACUCCUACGGGAGGCAGCAGUGGGGAAUAUUGCACAAUGGGCGCAAGCCUGAUGCAGCCAUGCCGCGUGUAUGAAGAAGGCCUUCGGGUUGUAAAGUACUUUCAGCGGGGAGGAAGGGAGUAAAGUUAAUACCUUUGCUCAUUGACGUUACCCGCAGAAGAAGCACCGGCUAACUCCGU
rnacentral:rRNA from 1 species